rnacentral:rRNA from 1 species
UGUAAUUUACAGAGGAUGCCAUGGGACUCUGUAUGGACUCAAAUUCUUUGGAAAAAGAUGCCAUGGAGAGUGACAGUCUCGUACUUUCCGAUACAGUUUCCGUUGUAUGGCUCCUUCAACGAGUCGAGUUGUUUGGGAAUGCAGCUCAAAGUGGGACGUAAAUUUGUUCCAAAGCUAAAUAUAGGCUAGAGACCGAUAGCGCACAAGUAGAGUGAUCGAAAGAUGAAAAGCACUUUGAAAAGAGAGUUAAAAAGCACGUGAAAUUGUUGAAAGGGAAGCUUAUGUCAUCAGAACUGACGUCGUCGUUCAGCCUUUUGGUGUACUCGACGAUCGUCAUGCCAGCAUCAAUUUGGGCAGUUGGAUAAAAGUGUUGGAAAUGUGGCUUCUUCGGAAGUGUUUAUAGUCCGAUACAGCAUGCAACUCGUCCAGAUUGAGGACCGCUUUU